rnacentral:rRNA from 1 species
CUGGCGGCGUGCCUAACACAUGCAAGUCGAACGAGAAAGUGGAGCAAUCCAUGAGUAAAGUGGCGACCGGGUGAGUAACACGUGACUAACCUACCUCCGAGUGGGGAAUAACUCCGGGAAACCGGGGCUAAUACCGCAUAACAUCGCAAGAUCAAAGCAGCAAUGCGCUUGGAGAGGGGGUCGCGGCUGAUUAGCUCGUUGGCGGGGUAACGGCCCACCAAGGCGAAGAUCGGUAUCCGGCCUGAGAGGGCGCACGGACACACUGGAACUGAAACACGGUCCAGACUCCUACGGGAGGCAGCAGUGGGGAAUUUUGCGCAAUGGGGGAAACCCUGACGCAGCAACGCCGCGUGGAGGAUGAAGCCCUUUGGGGCGUAAACUCCUUUCGACUCGGACGAUAAUGACGGUACGAGUGGAAGAAGCACCGGCUAACUCUGUGCCAGCAGCCGCGGUAAUACAGAGGGUGCGAGCGUUGUUCGGAAUUAUUGGGCGUAAAGGGCGCGUAGGCGGUGCGGUAAGUCACCUGUGAAAUCUCCUGGCUUAACUGGGAGCCUGCAGGCGAAACUACCGUGCUGGAGUGUGGGAGAGGUGCGUGGAAUUCCCGGUGUAGCGGUGAAAUGCG